UACGAAGGGGGCUAGCGUUGCUCGGAAUGACUGGGCGUAAAGAGCUCGUAGGCGGUCUGUCGCGUCGGCUGUGAAAACCCGGAGCUCAACUCCGGGCCUGCAGUCGAUACGGGCAGACUGGAGUUCGGCAGGGGAGACUGGAAUUCCUGGUGUAGCGGUGAAAUGCGCAGAUAUCAGGAGGAACACCGGUGGCGAAGGCGGGUCUCUGGGCCGAUACUGACGCUGAGGAGCGAAAGCGUGGGGAGCGAACAGG
rnacentral:rRNA from 1 species